GGGGGUGUACUGGUUUCGACUGAUGGUUUGAAGAGCUGACUGCAUGUCGAGGUUGAUCAGUUGGCCUCGUAAAAAGCUGAUCAAAAAAUAAAAGCAAAUAACGAACCUGAACUUGCAUUGGCAGCCUAAUUGAGUUGCCCGCGACUUGGCCGACGCCUGCUGAGUCAAGUCGCGACCAUAAUAGCAGGCUGGUCUCGCGACGGGUGUCCGGUCGUUGAGGCAAGAGGUUACAGGGCAAUCGGAGAGACCGGAUUUUGUCGGUCAAAGCCGCCUCUCCUAAACCAAAUGACCGACUAUGCAUGUAGAGGUUAGUUUAGACAGCUAUUAGGACAGGGGUUCAACUCCCCUCACCUCCACCA
rnacentral:tmRNA from 1 species